rnacentral:hammerhead_ribozyme from 1 species
AUCCAGUUGACGAGUUCCAAAUAGAACGAAACCCGCGUACUAGAU